AGAGUUUGAUCCUAGCUCAGGGUGAACGCUGGAAAUGUGGAUACCGGCAUGCAAGUCAAGGGGCCGCAAGGCACCGGCGAACGGCUUAGUAACACGUGGAUACAUACCUUAAAGUGGGGCAUAGCUCGUCGAAAGACGGGGUAAUUUCCCAUAGUCUCGCAAGAGUAAAGGCGCAAGCCGCUUUAAGAAUGGUCCGCGGUCUAUCAGCUAGUUGGUGGGGUAAUGGCUCACCAAGGCUAUGACGGAUAGGGGGCGUGAGAGCGCGACCCCCAAGAAUGGCACUGCGAUACGGGCCAUACUCCUACGGGAGGCUGCAGUCGAGAAUCUUCCACAAUGGACGAAAGUCUGAUGGAGCGACAUUUCGUGAAGGAUGAAGCCCUUCGGGGUGUAAACUUCUUUUAUCUGGGAGCAAAUUAUUGAGAGUACCAGAUGAAUAAGGGGAUACUAAUUCUGUGCCAGCAGUAGCGGUAAUACAGAAUCCCCGAGCGUUACCCGGAUUUAUUGGGCGUAAAGGGUUCGUAGGUGGUUUGGUAAGUUCAAGAUUAAACCUCAUCGGCUUAACCUUUGAGCUGUUUUGAAUACUGCCAGACUAAGAGGGCGUUAGAGGCAAACGGAACCGACGGAGUAGGGGUGAAAUCCGUUGAUAUCGUCGGGAACACCAAAAGCGAAGGCAGUUUGCUGGGACGACCCUGACACUGAGGAACGAAAGCGUGGGGAGCAAAAAGGAUUAGAUACCCUUGUAGUCCACGCUGUAAACUAUGGAUACUGGAUAUUGGCAGUGUCGACCCUGCCAGUGUCGAAGCUAACGCGUUAAGUAUCCCGCCUGGGAAGUACGGUGGCAACACUAAAACUCAAAGGAAUAGACGGGGACUCACACAAGCAGUGGACCAUGUGGCUUAAUUCGACAACAAACGAAGAACCUUACCAGGACUAGAAACCCAACUGACCAUCAUAUGAAAGUAUGACUUCGCAAGACAGUUGGGCAGGUGCUGCAUGGUUGUCGUCAGUUCGUGUCUUGAGACGUACCGUUAAUUCGGGUAACGAACGCAACCCUUGCUCUGUGUUUUACAUGUCACAGAGGACUGCCCGAGAUAAUUGGGAGGAAGGUGAGGAUGACGCCAAAUCAGCAUGGCCCUUGAUGUCCUGGGCUGCACACGUGGUACAAUGGCCGGUACAAUGGGAAGCAAAACCGCAAGGCGAAGCUAAUCCCACCAAAGCCGGUCUCAGUUCGGAUUGAGGGCUGAAACUCGCCCUCAUGAAGCUGGAAUUGCUAGUAAUCGCCAAUCAGCUACGUGGCGAUGAAUACGUUCCUGAGUCUUGUACUCACCGCCCGUCAAGCCAAGCAAGUUGGGGAUAGCCGAAGUUCCAUGCAAAUGGGCCUAAGCUAGAUUCAAUAAGAAGGGCUAAGUCGUAACAAGGCA
rnacentral:rRNA from 1 species